rnacentral:rRNA from 1 species
GACGUAGGGCGCGAGCGUUGUCCGGAUUUAUUGGGCGUAAGAGCUCGUAGGCGGCUCAUCGCGUCUGCCGUGAAAACCCGCAGCUCAACUGCGGGCUUGCGGUUGAUACGGGUGGGCUGGAGUUCGGUAGGGGAGACUGGAAUUCCUGGUGUAGCGGUGAAAUGCGCAGAUAUCAGGAGGAACACCGGUGGCGAAGGCGGGUCUCUGGGCCGAUACUGACGCUGAGGAGCGAAAGCGUGGGGAGCGAACAGG